GACAGUCUGAGUAUAAUGCCACAGAGAAAUCUAUGCAAAUUUACAGAGGCCAGUAUUUCCCAAAAUGUGCAGUGUGUACUUUUGAAAUAGUGCACUGGGCAGGAAUUCCUAAAAGUGGCUCUGGGAGCUGUCUCGGAAUGGUCUAGAUGAGGAGCCAGCUGCAAAUACGGAACACCCCGCUUCUCCCCAUGGAAGAUGCUGCAUCUGGCUUCCCAUGGGAAUAAUGGCUGCUUCUCACUGGAAAGAAUGGAUGCAACUUCCCACACGUGCUGGACAUCUGGUUUUCCUAGACAACUCCUGGAAAUAGCUGGCACUCAAACCCAACUGCCUUGUCUCCCCACUGACAGACUUGAGAACCAUUGGACUAGAUGAUCUGAAGCUAUCUCCACCUCCAAAUGGGAGUUCAAGCGUGACGGACAGGUCUUGUUUCAAGAUCUCCAGAUCUCUCUCUGCUUAUCAAGUCACAUUAAAGCAAAGCGUGGGAAGAAAGAUGAAGGACAAUGUGAAGACAUGGUUUGCAAAGAACAGUGGCCUUGUCUGAGAAGGAAAAAGAGAUACUGCUUUGUAAAUAAAGUAAACUUUAUUUACUGCUUCUCUCCUGCCUUUUCCAUGUUUAAACCAAAAACCACCACUUUCAAACUUCUUUCUAGAAUAAUGCCAAUCCUUCUAUACCUCCAACCCAGAAGACUCACAAGCGACACGGAUUUUUGUGCGAGUACAGUUAUGGCCCAUCAUUAUUAAAUGUCUCUUGUUGGGCGGAAGAGGCACUUCAUCACCAGCAGCCAUUCAUCAGCACUUGCCGAACCGCUCACAUCUGACCUCAGCAGCAAUAAUGCCACAUCAAAUAGGCCAACUACCCAGUUUAGCAGCAGAGCAGAGAGCACAAGCUGGCUUCAAGAUUAAGUACACUGCUGCAGGCUUCCAUUCCCAGGAGCUCCUUGUGCUGAUGUUGUAUUGAUUGAAAAACUUUACCAGUAAGUAUCACAAACAAUAGGCAGGUCAACAAUCGGUGAUGCCUGAAUAUGAAUUCCCCAUGGGGCUGCACUCUGGGCCAAGGUGCAGCUAUCACGGUGUCUGAGCACAGGUUGAAUAAGGUUUCCCAGGAAGGAAAGAGUGAGAACUUACAGUCUGAAAUGACAUUUAAGCAAGUCCAUAUGGGAACAGAAUGAGAGACAAUGAUGUAAUUAUCUAUUCCCCAGCUUCUAACUGCCUCAAAAACCUGUCAUCUCUCAGUGUUUACAUGUUCUCCAAGUCUUCUACUUCUGGCUUUUAAUGCUUUUUGGGGUCUACUAAGCCCAAUAUGCAAACCCAGGUAGUGUUCAGAUUAAACAAAAAAAUAAAUAUUGCCAUAUAGCAAUAUCCAUCCCAUUUUCAUUUGAGAAAUCAGAAGAGAACUUUUUGGUAUAUAUUCCCCUACCUUCUAAAAAAUGCAUUUAAUUUUACUUCUUAUCAGGUGAGCACCAAAUAAGAGAAUGGGCAUAUAUCUUUCAAGCAUAUUUUUAUAUACAAAUUGUAUUUUUUGACAAGGUAAUUCUUGUGAAAAUGGUCCUUAUGAUUGGGAGAAGUGUUUGCAGCAAGGUAAUUGCACAUAACAUCCACUGCAGGCAGUAAUAUUCAGACUCGUAGAGGGGAGUGGUAUGGUUCCUGGGUGCUAAAGUGUGCACACACAUACGUAUGCAUGUGUGUGCACAUACACUCCCACCCAUUGUAUAUGACCGUUCUCACAUUCUCAUAUUCCAAUGCAUGCAGGAUGAGAUGCUGCUGUGUACACAAACAGAUUCUAUUUUUUCAGGAAAAAGGUGAUGCUAUUCCCCUUUCAGUGUUUCUGCUAAAGUUUCUCUGACCUCCUUUCUCACCCACUGGAAGAAAGGGUUGAUCACUCUCAGCUCUGAACCCUUUCUGUCCUUUAUACACACUUUAUUAUUGUACUAAUGGUAGUUAUAUGUAUGCUAAUCUGUCUUCCCUUCUAGACUAUGAACUCCUCAAGAGAAAAUAUUUUAUAUUAUUAAUUUGUGCCUUCCUAGGGCUCAGGGCAGGGCCCUGCACAUAGUAGGUGCUCUGGAAAUCUGUUCCAAACUCAACAAUUGAAUUGGACAUGGACGAUACAGCUAGUUUUUCAUCCAGUAUUUAAUUUAUUUUUCCCCUUAAGUAGGUUUUUUUAAAGGCAGCAAUCUGCCUACCUAAAAACAAAAAAGCCCACUACUUUACUUCUUGUCAGAUAUAAAGUUUAGAGGCUGGGUCUAUCUGGAAAGCUCUUACUUUCCUGAUUAGAACAAGCUUAUUGGACAUCCACUUCCCGCACUUCACCCUUGACUCUUCUUCCAUCAUGAGCUGAAAAUGUGGGGCUGGAAGUGAAGUAACCAGCCUCAAUAUUAUGAUCUAGAUAGGUAAUGUGACAUUAUAUUAAGGUUUACCAAAUAUCAAAAAUUGUCUUAUGUAAAAGAUCUAAGUGGAGAAUAAAAACCAAGGGCAAAAAGACCCUUGCUUCUGAAGUUAUUUUUGACACUUGCUUUUGGUGGUAAAUGGCCAUUCUCCACUGAGUGCCUUGACAACACUGACUAUAUUUUGUAGUGGCAGUUGCCAGUUGAAUGACUGGCAACCUUUUCCCCUCCGGUCCUACAACUAUCAUAUCUGUCUCAUGGAGAUUUAUUUUAUAGUCACUGAACAUCAUAGAUCCCAUUUUUGGCAAUGACAGGAAGACAAACCUCAAGAGGCCCCAACUCUAGGAGAUAAUCUUUCUGUCAUUAUACCAAUUCUGUUGCCCUGUGCUAUGACAGGGAUUGCGUAUUGCCCCUCAAUAUCUGUACUCUCCUUUCUCCCUUUCUAGUAAUAGAACACAUCAAGUUUCAGCUCAGCACAGGGCAGCCCAUAGCUAUAGGCUAUAUUUCUCUAUAUAUAUAUAUAGCUAGACACUAUAUUUCCUAUAUUCCCUUGCAACUAGGUAUGGCCACAUGACUGUGUAUUGAUCAAAGCAAUGUUAGCUGAAGUAAUGCAGAGAAAGUCUGAGUCUUUCUAUUUAAAGGAAGAUGAUUGACAUUUGCUUCCUCAUUCCUCAUUUCACUGGGCCUGACAAGUGGGUAGAGUAGUGAUGAACUAUCUUUGACCUUGCUAAUCAGAGCAAUUGCCUGAAAAAGAGAUCAAUAAACUAUGAUCUUUGGGCCAAAUCGAGCCCACUGUCUGUUUUUACAUGGCCUACAAGCCAAGACUGGUUUCUGUAUAGGUAAAUGGUUUAAAAAUAAAAAGAUGAAUAGUUUGUGACCCAUGAAAAUUAUACAACAUUCUAAUUGCAGUGUCCAUAAAUAAAGUUUUAUUGGAACACAGCCAUACUCAUUCAUUUACAUAUUGCCCAUAGCUGCCUUUGUACUCCAACAGCAGAGAUGAGUGGUUGCAACAGAGACCAUAUGGCCCACAAGAGCCUAAGAUAUUUACUAUCUGGCACUACAGGGAAAAAAAUUGCUGACUCUUACUGUAGAGUCAUAUUGUGGUGCGGCCACAGGAUGGAUGGCACCAGGGCUCUGACUUCUGAAAGGCAACCACUCCACCUCCCAGGCUGCCUAGAGGCUCAGUUUGAAGUGAGACAAAAAUAAACUUCUACAAUGUUUAAAAUGGUGUUAUUUGGUCUCUGUUAAAGCAGCUGAACCAGACAGAAUCUUGACUAAUACAAUUAUCAUAACACAUUUCUUAACUAUUGUCAAAGACAAGCUACAGUUGAAUGGGAAGAAAAAGGAAAAACUUUCUUCAAAUGAAGCAAACGCGUCAUACCACUGAUGUUUCCGUAACCAUUUGAUAGGUUAUUUCUCCAAGGUAUGUGAGAGGGACCAUUGCUCAUUCUUGAGAGUCAAAAAUAUGAUACAAUGGGGCUGGUAGAAGAUUAUUUUAGUAGUCCCAGUGUAAGGAAAAUUGAAGUGGAAGAGAGCUUGUCAAUGAGGCCCUUUUUCUUUCAAAUUUCCCACACCCCUUGAUAUGGUUUGGCUGUGUCCCCACCCAAAUUUCAUCUUGCAUUGUAGCUCCCAUAAUUCCCAUGUGUCAUGGGAGGCACCUAGUGGGAGGUCAAUUGAAUCACGGAAGUGGGUCUUUCCCAUGCUGUUCUCGUGAUAGUAAAUAAAUCUCACAAGAUCUGAUGGUUUUAUAAAGGGGAGUUCCCCUACACAAGCUCUCUUGCCUGCUGCCAUGUAAGACGUGACUUUGCUCCUCAUUUGCCUUCUGCCAUGAUUGUGAGGCCUCCCCAGCCAUGUGGAAAUGCGAGUCAAUUAAACCUCUUUCCUUUAUAAAUUACCCAGUCUCGGGUAUGUCUUUAUUAGCAGCAUAAGAACAGACUAAUAUACCGCUCCAGGAGGCAGUUGAAGUAAUAAGAGCAGCAGCAGCAGCAGCAGCAAUAACAACAAUAAUAGUAAUAGAUGAUAUUUAUUGAGUGCUUGCCUUGUCCA
rnacentral:lncRNA from 10 species